rnacentral:rRNA from 1 species
UACGUAGGCAGCAAGCGUUGUUCGGAGUUACUGGGCGUAAAGGGUGUGUAGGCGGUUUUUUAAGUUUGGUGUGAAAUCUCCCGGCUCAACUGGGAGGGUGCGCCGAAUACUGAAAGACUAGAGUGCAGGAGAGGAAAGUGGAAUUCCUGGUGUAGCGGUGAAAUGCGUAGAUAUCAGGAGGAACACCGGUGGUGUAGACGGCUUUCUGGACCGUAACUGACGCUGAGACACGAAAGCGUGGGUAGCAAACAGG